rnacentral:rRNA from 1 species
CGACCACGAUCCAAGCCUAAAUACUACUCAGCUACCGAUAGCGAACAAGUACCGUGAGGGAAAGGUGAAAAGAACCCUUGUAAAGGGAGUGAAAUAGAACCUGAAACCAUUAGCUGGCAAGAUGUCAUAGCCCGCAAGGGUGGUGGCGUGCCUUUUGUAGAAUGAGCCUGCGAGUUAUGUCAUGCAGCAAGGUUAAGCGAUCGUAGUCGCGGAGCCGAAGGGAAACCGAGUCUGAAUAGGGCGAUUUAAGUUGCAUGCCAUAGACCCGAAGCCAAGGUGAUCUAUCCAUGAGCAGGUUGAAGCAAGGGUAAAACCUUGUGGAGGACCGAACAGUAAUCUGUUAAAAAAGGUAGUGAUGACUUGUGGAUCGGAGCGAAAGACUAAACAAACCUGGAAAUAGCUGGCUCUCCCCGAAAUGCCUUUAGGGACAGCCUCAUAGAAAGAUAACGGGGGUAAAGCACUGGAUGAGUGCGGGGGGGUCAAACCCUACCAAACUCAAUCAAACUCUGAAUACCGUUACCCAGCCUAUGGGAGUGAGACUGCGUGCGACAAGGUUCGUAGUCAAGAGGGAAACAGCCCAGACCAUCAACUAAGGUCCCAGAAUCAUGCUAAGUGUGAAAUGAAGUGCGGAUGCACAGACAGCCAGGAGGUUGGCUCAGAAGCAGCCAUUCCUUAAAAGAGUGCGUAACAGCUCACUGGUCGAGCAUCCGUGCGCAGACAAUGAAACGGGGCUAAGCAUGAUACCGAAGUUAUGGAUUCACACUUCCGUGUGACUGGUAGGGGAGCAUUCCAAUAACCGAUGAAGGAAGACCCGCGAGGGCUUCUGGAGGACUUGGAAGAGAGAAUGCAGGUAUAAGUAACGAAAAGACGGGUGCGAUCCCCGUCCGCCGAAAACCAAAGGUUUCCAGGGUAAAGGCAAUCUGCCCUGGGUAAGUCGGCCCCUAAGGCCAGGCCGUAAGGCGUAGUCGAUGGGAAAUUGGUUUAUAUUCCAAUACCUCUUAUAGUUUCGAGGGCAUGACGCAUUAGGUGAACUCCGGCAGGGUGACGGUUAUCCCUGUCUAAGCAGCGAGUUGUUGAGGAGCGGCGAAAACGUUCCGAGAUGAGCUGUAGGCCAAGCGAGGAAGAUAGUCCUUGUAAGCGGAUGUAAUCAAGGUGCCAAGAAAUAAUGCAUAAGGUUAGGCUAUAAGAGACCGUACCGGAAACCGACACAGGUUGGUAGGAUGAGUAAUCUAAGGCGCUCGAGCGACAUUGCGUUAAGGAACUCGGCAAAAUGCACACGUAACUUCGGAAGAUGUGUGGCUCUGUUAGUGAUAAUAAGAGCGGCAGAAAGCAGGCCCAGGCGACUGUUUACCAAAAACACAGCCAUCUGCGAAUCAUUAAUGAGACGUAUAGGUGGUGACGCCUGCCCGGUGCUGGAAGGUUAAGAGGAGCGGUGUUAAAGCUGUGAAUCGAAGCCCCAGUAAACGGCGGCCGUAACUAUAACGGUCCUAAGGUAGCGAAAUUCCUUGGCGGGUAAGUU